rnacentral:rRNA from 1 species
UAUCGGAACGUACCAUUGAGUGGGGGAUAACGUAGCGAAAGUUACGCUAAUACCGCAUACGAUCUACGGAUGAAAGCGGGGGAUCGCAAGACCUCGCGCUCAAUGAGCGGCCGAUAUCUGAUUAGCUAGUUGGUAGGGUAAAAGCCUACCAAGGCAUCGAUCAGUAGCUGGUCUGAGAGGACGACCAGCCACACUGGGACUGAGACACGGCCCAG